UUUCAGGCCAUAGCCAAUGUUCAAGAAAGGACAAGAGCAACAGGAGCAAGAAUCACGAAAUGUUCAUGCUGUGUAUUUCUUUCUACUAUGAUUGCUGAAAUCAAGGUGUUAGAUGUAAGCCUCCUUCCUGGUCUGGAAAGUGACUAAUUCUGUGAAGACUGCCCAGGAAGGAAGAAAAGAUUCUCCAGGGAUAUUACAACAAAUCCAUGGUAUUUCGAUGCUGACACCCUCGAGACAAUGAGAGACAGAGGCAGAACAAAUGCAUGGCCUAGCAUGACCUGUUCCAGCAAAGGAGAGAACUGCGGAGGAAGUCUGAGAGAACUGGGUGUCAAGUGUUAAACAAAAAAAAUAGUCUUGGAACACACAUUUGGCUAAGCUGGAAGUUUUCGACGCAGAAGAUCAAUUCAGAACCUAUCGGUGAUAUCUUCUCCCUAUCCUUUCGAGGGAGUCUCCACAGGAAUUCCCAGGCAUAAUUUGAAUGCCCAAAGUCCUCAAAGGAACAGAAUUAAGACCAAAAUUGACAAAAUGUCCUCUGGUAUAAAUACAGUUGAAGCAUUGGACGCAAUGAAGCAAGUAGAAUCUGGAUACAGCACAUCAGAGAACUCAGCUCCCCCAUAGACCUGAAUUAUUCAGCUACAGAUAAAAGAAAAUGCAGUCCGUCUCCCCUGCAGCAGAAAAAUCUACCUGCCUGUGGGUGGCUGCAGUCCCAAGGCUGAGAGCAUUGCCUUGCCACAGCAGCAGCAGUAGACCGGCCAGCUGUGCGGCUUCCCAGGAUGGGCAAGCAAGAAAUCAUCCUGGUAACGGAACUUCUCUGGUCCACAUGCAAUAAAAAUGUCAUCAUCACCAAAAAAGUCUUGAAGGCACAUCACCUACAAGAGAAAAGCAUAGUUCUCAGCCAGGGGUCCACACAACAGUGAUCACAACACCACCUCCCCUCCCCCCUGCAUAGACCUCUCCAUAAAGCCAUUUUCCUCUAAUGGAAUCAACAGGGGGAUUUCAAAGGCUCUGCUGUGCAUCUGUUAUCAGUAAGGAACGAGUUAGUCUCAGGUCUGCGGGAAGGCAGAGAAGGCGACUGGGUGGGUAACUGUCACAUUUAUGACUGGAAACAUCAACAGGCUAUGAGGUAAGAGCUCUUUGUUUCCAUAACAUUGGGGAUUCAGCUACUCGGACUCCGGAGCCCCCCAGCUUCUGAAUGUAAGUUCCAAAAGCAAGGAGAGCUGGUGCAGGGAUUUAACUGCUUCUGUUGGUAAUUAACAGCGUUAUGUAUUCACAACAACCAUUGAGAAAAAUAGUAUAUUAUAAUAACUUGUAGGCCUAGUCCAUCUCUAGUUGAAAUAAACUGAAACCCUUAUAAUAG
rnacentral:lncRNA from 1 species